AUAAUUUCUAUUUAAUAUUUCGGAGAGAGAGAGGUUUAUUCAAGUAAAGGGGCCACAGGCCCAUUAUACAAAUGUACAAAGUGCAAGGUCUAACAAGCGCCAUAAAAUAUUCAAUAUUAGCACAAGUGCUAAUCAGCAGAUACAAGAGGCUGUAGGGGUACUAUACACUCAAGAAUGCAUUACGCUUCUUUAAAGCUAGAUACACAAAUUUUCCAAGAUUAUUAAUAAGAAGUAUAUUCUUCGUCAUGAACAACUGAGACAGUUUCUGUUGUGACGGGAAAUUGUAAUAAUAAUUUGGAAUUGUCAUUUCUCUAAGAUUAUUAUAAAAUGGACAUUCUAGGCAAAAAUGAAAUUCGCUUUCUACAGUAGGAAUAAUACACAAUGGACACAAGCGUUCAUUUCGCUUUAGACCAAGGCGUCUACCAUAUUCAAUCAUUAACAUAUGACUGGAGCUUCUAAUUCUACUUAAGGCAAUACGAAAUACUUUGCAUUGAACGUGAUUAAUGUAGAACUCUAAGCAAACUUUGUUUUUGAUAUUACUCAGAAAAUCAAGUUUAGAAAAACACAGCAUAUCAC